rnacentral:rRNA from 1 species
UACGUAGGGGGCUAGCGUUGUCCGGAUUUAUUGGGCGUAAAGAGCGUGUAGGCGGCCAGGUAGGUCUGGUGUGAAAACUCGAGGCUUAACCUCGAGAUGUCAUCGGAAACCAUCUGGCUAGAGUCCGGAAGAGGAGAGUGGAAUUCCGGGUGUAGUGGUGAAAUGCGUAGAUAUCCGGAGGAACACCAGUGGCGAAAGCGGCCACCUGGACUGCACCUGACGCUGACACGCGAAAGCUAGGGGAGCGAACGGG